GCAGUGUUUCUAUCAGGUGCAGUUCGUACCAAGUAGCCUUUUUGUUUGUAAAAGUUUUGUGAAAUAAGUAGGAAAAUAAAUUUAGUGUUAAUAGACAAUUACAGCAGUUUAUAAUCACUAAUGCGAUUACAAAAUUUCUGGAGACAAUAGGAGAUUACCUAAUAGUAGCCCUUAAAUUUUUAUUAAGUAAUGUGGGCGUGUAUUUGUAAUCAAGGAAUAUAGAAAUUCCAGACUGAUGAUAGCAGCAAUACUAGACAAAAUUUGUUUAUUAUCUAGCAGCACAUUGUGCUGUUAAGUAUGAAGGAAUUUAUCUUGACAAGUUCAAGAUGUGACAAAUACCAAAGCAAUGAACUGCAGUAAGUAGCAUAAAAAGUAAAUAUGAUUUCAGAACAUCUUCAGUUUUCUAUCUGGCUUUAUUUAAUAAAGAGUCAUGUUUUCUAUUGUGAUGAAUGAUUCUCAAAACAAGGGUUGUUUCUUGUUUGGUAGCUAGUAAUCAUUUGGUGUUAAGGAUGGUAGUUACACUGAUUUAGCUACCGUUGAGAUUUGAUAGUGGUUGGUGGUCCUGAGGUUAAAACUAAUAUUAACCAAAAAGGAUCGACAUAAAUAUCCACCGCUGAAACAUUUCUAUUAAUGUUUUCCUCAAAAGGUGGUGUAAUGACUUGCUUCAAUCAAAUUGGUUCUGCAUCUUUUGCCAAUAUUUCCUGUUUUGUGAUAAUUGAUUAUCAGUCAUAAGGUUAAAACUAAUCUUAACCUAAGACAAAAGUACAUAUACAUA